GCGACCCCAGGUCAGGCGGGAUCACCCGCUGAGUUU
rnacentral:rRNA from 38 species